rnacentral:tRNA from 1 species
CUCAGUAGCUGAGUGGAUAACGUGAUGGCGUUUGAAGCGAAAGGUACCGGGUUCGAGUCCCAGAGUA